rnacentral:lncRNA from 1 species
UGGAGACAAAUCACUUCGUUUCUGUCUUCCAGCUCCUUCGUCUGUUAAAAUGCAGCUAAUGAUAGUGAUUUCCUUCAUUAAACAUCUUCAGAUCACCAAUCCAAUCCACUAUUUAAAAGUUAAGUAUUACUUAUUACUAUACUCCCCCCUUCUACAAUGAUCCCUGUGCAGAAUGUAAGCCUGAAGCACAUGCUUGACUGACUUUGUAAAUUGAAAUAGACUGAAGCAUAUGUUUAACAUCUGUCUUUAAUUGGGUACCUAUAGAUGGAGACGAACCUGUGAAGCAUUUCGAAGUCUCUAAUUUCUAAAUUUGCUGCUUUCCAGCACACACCAAAACUCCUGUUUGCUCAUCCUCAGGGGAAUAUUACCACACUCAUCUUUCUCAGCAGUCUUUUCGAAGAGGAGCAGUGUGCCCUGCCUGAAAGGAGUUUUAUUAGUAAAAUGAACUUUUAUUUAACUCUUUACAGUUAACUUGCUAGUUUCGUCAUUUAUUCUGAAUUAGAAAAAUAGUCCUAUAAUGUCCUAUAUUAUAGUCCUAUAAUGUUUGUUAUUUUUUUUCUUAAGAUUGCAUCCAUACGAUUCUACUCAUUAAUUCUAUUUGUUAAUUCUUUCAUGGUUUUGAAUUGAGUUAACACUGGUUUGUCAUGGAGGCCACACUUCUAGAACUAUGAUCGUGACAGCACCUGGCUCCAUUUCAUCUGAUUGUCUUCUCGUAUGCUGAAACAUUUCAUCCCAGGACUGCCACAGAAUGGAGGGUCUGAAGGUCAGAAUCACUGUCAACUCCCCAGAGAUGUGAAAAGCACAACCGUAUUUCACCUCCUUCACAAGGAACAGCCCUGGAGAUGUGAAAUCUUAGUAGGUGGUAUCUCUUCUGCUCCAUGACAAUUAAUGGAAAAGGCGGUUUGUUGCAUCUGCAAUGUCACUCCCGUGAACAUCCCAUUUACCUGGGAGCCUGGUGAAGAGGGCAGGGAAUGAAGACCUGAAAGGCAGCCUGG